AUGUCUAGAGGAGCAUAUGUUGUUCUAGGUGGUGGCCACGCAGAGGAACUAGGCAUCAUGCAAGACAACUCGGGGACGAUACUUUUGCUCUGCAUGAUUCUUAUGUCUCUCUCACUUAUAUCAAUGGUCAUAUUUGCUUGUGGUGAUGAUGAAGGAUCAAGCAAGAAAAGAUACGGAGGCGGCGGCGGCGGUAUUGUUGGUGAUGGUGGUGCAGCUUGUGGUGGCGGUGGCGGUUGUGGAGGUGGAGGUUGUUAGGAAGAUAUAUACAACUAUGUUUUCAUAAAAUUAAGAAAAGCUCGAAUUUAUGUCCACAAAACCUGUCGUUCUUAUAAUUGUUCUUGUUGAUACUAAUAUUGGUUUGUAAGUUAUGUUAUAUCGAUGGAGCUUCUUAUGUAUAUGAUGGUCAGAUUUUGGCUUUUACUAAUUUUGAUGGUAGUGUUUGUUUUUCUCUUUUAAAAUUCACUUUAAAUUUCUAUCAACAAAAAUGCAAUAUUCAGUAAAUUCCCAUAUUGCCAUUCUCUGCUGUUUACAAUUUUUGAGAGAGAGAGAGAGAGAGAGAGAGAGAGUCGGUCUACAAUACAAAGGUGGGGCCCGUUGGCAGAGGGAGAAUAGGCUCUUUCAUUAUAAUUUAGCAUAACAAAAUAACAAUGAUAAAACACCUAUUUAAAGACUUCUCUUAUCAUAACCGAUUAACCCACUCUCAUAUCUUAGACUCUUCAUCAACCCACUAAUUCAUGAAGCUGACAGUUUAUUCAAUUAAUUAAUAUAUGAACUUAUUAAAUCCGAGAAUAAGAAAAGACUCAACAUAAUAGCAUAUUGAAACUUCUUGAAUGCAAUAAUGAUGCAUAUUUGGUUUAAUUCUCCAACAUUCCCCUCAUUCCCCUUCCGUCUCUCACUCUCUUUUUCUCUCUCCCUCACACCAUCCUCCCAGUCACGCCACCACCUGACCCCACUACCCAGAGCCAUCAUACAACCAAACCCAGCCUCUAUCCGAAUCCUAGCCCCACCCGAGAAAGGACGAAAUUAACCAAAAUUGAGAGAGAGAGAGAGAGAGAGAGAGAGAGGGUCUAUGAAGGUGGGGCCGUUGGCAGAGGGGGAUGGUUGCAUGUAUUUUUGUUUUUGUUUUAAUCUUUUUUAUUUAUAAAAAGACUUAAUUUUCUUUUUUUAAAAAAAGGAUUUGAAGUUUUAAACUAUUUAAAAUAUAUAAUUGUAUUUUAUUUAAAGUCAUGUGUGAUUAUCUCAUUCGAUAUGUGGCACCACAUAUGUGCCACCAGUGGCGGAUCUGUGCAGGCGCAAGGAGGUGCACCUGCACCUCUGGUAUUCGGAAAAGUCCAUUAGAGCAGCUGGAGUUGCACCUCUGCUUCAGACAAGAGAUGCAAGCAACGUGUUCAACGAAAUGCCCAAACCACCUGGGUUGGGCGCUGCAUCUGCUGUGCGCUGAGCGCGCUUGUUUUUUUUUAAACAUCCCCUAGCCAAAACGACGUCGUUUUGGACCAGGCUUUUAAAAAAUGCGUUGGUUUUUUUUUUUAAUAAAAAAAAAUGGCCAAAACGACGUCGUUUUGGACCAGGGUUUAAAAAAAAAGAAAAAAAAAAGGAAACUGCUCCUGCUGCUGGGCCAUUCUAUUGGCUUUCGAAUUUGUAUUAUUCCUUACUAAAUUGGGUUUCCAAUUUCUAUAAUUCCUUACUUAAUUAAGUGGGAGUUAUCUUUAUUCAAUUGGGUUUUGAGAAUUCUUUAUUUAAUUGGGAUUGGAAUUCUCUUUAUAAAGGACCAAUUUAACAUUACCCAAAUUCAUCAAAGUGUGUGUGCAUGACAAGAAUCAUAUAUAUUUUUUCCUUCUUCUUGAGUAUGCCAAUCCAAAGUAAGUUGAAUGCAUAUUUUUUUUCUUGAGCAAACGCCAAUUUUGUUUAUUCUUUUUUUAUUUUUUAUAAUAAAUUUUUUUUUUUCUUAUUGAGCUCUCUCUGUAUUAGUAAGAUUAGUAGCAAACUCAAGGAGGAAGAGGCUACUUGACACGCUAUUCGAGGUAUAAUUAAUUUUUAUUUAUUUAUUUAAUUGAUAAUUUGAUAUUGAUUUGUUUAUUUAAUUGAUAAAUUAUAAUCAAUUAGUCAUACGUAUAGAUAUAAAACCCUUAUUUUGUUUUAAUUGUACAGUUAUGGAACGAUAAUUUAAGAGAAAGAAUUUAUUAUGAAUAACAUUAGUAUUGUUUAAAUUAUAAGGAUGUUUAGUUGUUUUUUUUUUUUUUGGGAGCUCUUAGCUUUUGAAAAUUGUACAUCUGUUGAAAAAUUCCUAGGUCUGCUGCUGUGUACCACGUCAGCAAUUUAACAUUAAUUUUGAAGGAACCUAGUAGCAAGAACAAAUUGAUAAAUGACAAAUAAUGUCACAAAAAGAAAAAAGAAAAAAGAAAAGGAUCAAAUGUGAUAAUUUCGCCGACCUUAAGACUAUUGUGAUAAAAACCCAAAAAUUAAAAAGAAAACACAUGUACAAAAAUAUCAUUGGUCAAUGUCAAUGGGGUGGAGAUGGAAUCUGGAGUGGCCGUAAGUAUUUUUCUUGUACACAAUUAAAUAGGAAGAGACAAACAAAAUCUCACAUCUGAUCUUCUUAGCAUUUUCACGAAGCAAAACAUAAGGGUUGCAGCAAUUAUUGCAUCUCAACUCAAUCUAGCUAGCUAUCCCUUUCUCUUUGAAAAUUUUCGCAAGUUUCUGUCUCUCUUCAAGCCUUUCAACAUCAGCUAGAAUCGUCAACAUAAGACUUGCAAUUGCACGGCAUUUGCUGCCAUUGCAUUAUAAAUACAUAUAUGCUUGGAUUAACGAACAGCUAGCUAAUCUUGUAACUCAUCGAAAAAUGGCCAGAGGAACAUAUGUUGUUCUAGGUGGUGGCCACGCAGAGGAACUAGGCCUCAUGCAAGACAACUCGGGGGGGAUAUUUUUGCUCUGCAUGAUUCUUAUGUCUCUCUCACUUAUAUCAAUGGUCAUAUUUGCUUGUGGUGAUGCUGAAGGAUCAAGCAAGAAAGGAUACGGAGGCGGAGUCGGUGGCGGUGGUGCAGCUGCUACUGCUGGUGCUGCUGCUUGUGGUGGUGGUGGUGCUGCUGCUGGAGGUUGUGGAGGUGGUGGAGGUGGUGGAGGUGGCGGUUGCGGAGGUGGAGGUGGAGGUGGAGGUUGUUAG
rnacentral:lncRNA from 1 species